GAAAUAUUUAUUGGGAGAGAGAAAGCUUCUGCCUAAGAGAGACAGAAGGGGGACCAGAAAGAGGGUUGCCUGUGCACUCCACUUUUCAAAGAUGUUUUAUACGGCAAAGCCAUGUGGUGAGGUAUUUGACUUUUAAAAAUAAAUUUGCAGAGACCCUAAGAAUCCAGCCAAGGGCCUGUGUCCCACAGCAAUGUCCCACACAAGUCCAGCUGAAGCCUAGAGCCCACAGCAAUGUCUCAUGCAAGUCGAUAUCAAGGAUCUGCACUGAGGAGGCCCAAAGGCCAGUGGUGGAAGCUAGAAAGACUGCACCAGGGGGGUGAAGGAUCUGUGCCAGAAGGCUGAGGGAUCUACACUGGAGUCAAGAAGCGAAGCUCAAGGUGAAGACCAGAGCUCCCCUGUAGAGAACAGCAGCCAUCCCUGCAACAGUGAGGACCUGAGUUCCAGAACAGCUGAGUUCAUAUCAAGAAAACCAGCUGCAAUUAGCUUCUCCAGAAAAAUCAACAGCAUGAGAUCUCCUCCUAUUCUCCUUUUAUGCCAUUGGCAGUAAUCCUCAGGGAUUGAACUCGAGUCCUUGUGCUUGCGAGGCAGGCAGCAGAACCACUGAGGUAAAUCCCUGGCCAUGUCUCCUUAAUCCUCUUGAUU
ensembl:lncRNA